AACUAAGAUGAUGGUAUAGUCUAUGCCCUAAGAAAUUAGAGAGAGCUUGUGUGCGCUACAAAGCCACUUCCAGACACCACAUUUUGGUUGGCUUUGUCAGUCAGGUUAACCUUGAUACACAAGCUACAUGAACUCCGUGCCAGCAGCCGCGGUAAUUCGAGGGGGGCUAGCGUUAUUCGAAAUGAUUGGGCUACUAGGGCAUGUAGGCUGUCUAUAAUCUUCAUGUGGCAAGGUUGUUAUUUUGAAAGACAGCCUUUGUGAAAUCCCUAAGUUUCUUUUAGGAAGCGCACUUGUUAAAAAAAGAUAUAGACUUGAGUAAGCAAGAAGAGAGUGGAAUUCUUAGAGGAGAGGUUCAAUUUGUAGAUACUAGGAGGAACUCCUAAAGCGAAGGCAGCUCUCUAAUGCUUGACUGACGCUGAUAUGCGAAAGCGUGGGGAGCGAAUGGGAUAGGAUAGAUCUGACCCGCUCAAAAAAGAUAGGUCAAAGGUGUCCCCUCGCAUUGUGAAGUGCGAGUGCACAUCC
rnacentral:ncRNA from 1 species